CGCCAGACUCCUACGGGAGGCAGCAGUGAGGAAUAUUGGUCAAUGGGCUUACGCCUGAACCAGCCAAGUCGCGUGAGGGAAGACUGCCCUAUGGGUUGUAAACCUCUUUUGUCAGGGAGCAAUUGGCGCUACGUGUAGCGUUAUCGAGAGUACCUGAAGAAAAAGCAUCGGCUAACUCCGUGCCAGCAGCCGCGGUAAUACGGAGGAUGCGAGCGUUAUCCGGAUUUAUUGGGUUUAAAGGGUGCGUAGGCGGAAUGCCAAGUCAGCGGUAAAAUCGCGGGGCUCAACCUCGCUCCGCCGUUGAAACUGCGUUUCUUGAGUGGGCGAGAAGUACGCGGAAUGCGUGGUGUAGCGGUGAAAUGCAUAGAUAUCACGCAGAACUCCGAUUGCGAAGGCAGCGUACCGGCGCCCAACUGACGCUCAUGCACGAAAGCGUGGGUAUCGAACAGGAUUAGAUACCCCUGUAA
rnacentral:rRNA from 1 species